GACGAACGCUGGCGGCGUGCUUAACACAUGCAAGUCGAACGGAACUCUUUGGAUCAAGGCUUCGGCCAAGUGAAUUUGAGUUUAGUGGCGGACGGGUGAGUAACGCGUGAGGAACCUGCCUUUCAGAGGGGGACAACAGUUGGAAACGACUGCUAAUACCGCAUAACGCGUAGAGGUCGCAUGGCCUUUACGCGUUAUGUGCUGAAAGAUGGUCUCGCGUCUGAUUAGAUAGUUGGUGAGGUAACGGCUCACCAAGUCGACGAUCAGUAGCCGGACUGAGAGGUUGAUCGGCCACAUUGGGACUGAGACACGGCCCAGACUCCUACGGGAGGCAGCAGUGGGGGAUAUUGCACAAUGGGGGAAACCCUGAUGCAGCGACGCCGCGUGAGGGAAGAAGGUCUUCGGGAUUGUAAACCUCUGUCUUGUGGGACGAUAAUGACGGUACCACAGGAGGAAGCCACGGCUAACUACGUG
rnacentral:rRNA from 1 species